rnacentral:lncRNA from 1 species
UGUAAGUUCAGCACACUUAAUGAAUGAUAAGUUUUAUUGUCAUUUAAUAAGCAGAAUUUGUGAAUACUGAAUUGAUUGUCUGAAGUUGUAAUCUUAUUUUUUCCCUCUUUCCCGAGUUUAAGCAAUCUUGGAGAAAAAAGGAAAGAGUAAACUAUUAUAUUGGUUGUUCUUAUUUACUUUUAUCCAAAAUCAGCUACUUUUUGCUUAUAAAAUUGUGCAAUUAGUUAGUCUCGAUUUACUUUUGAUCAGGCCUUUGUUUUAUUUUUUUUCGAUUUUCUUGUUUGUGAAAGAGCUUGCUAUCAUAUGUUGAUCUCUUUCUGCUUGUCUGUGGAUUUUGUUUAUGUAUAGUAUAACAUUAUGGCAAGGAAGAUGCUUUUUGAUGGGAAGCUAAGCAUUCCUGAUGGGUAGGAGACUCACAAGGACCUUGAUUUGUUUGUGAUUGGAGCUGCAGUGGUGGAGUUCGUGCCUCACAAUUUCCUAGUCUAUAACUCAUUUUUCGUUUAGUCUACGCACCAUUUGUGCUAAAAUUCUAAUGGACAUUUGUAACUAAGAUAUUAAGGUGCAUUGACACAUUUCGUGGUUAAAUAUAGGUUAUUUAAAUUAAUGUAAUGAUUAUUAAUAAUUAUUUUAUAUGCAAUGACAAUUACCUUUUGUAGUUAAUAUUGUAUAUUGUGAA